CGAGCUCUGCGCAGGGAUUUACCUAGUUAGGUAUUGGGUUAGGUUGCACUCAUUCCGGUUCACGUCAGGUUUACUGUAUGCGAACAAGUACGCUGAGACGCAGUCACGAUGACUAAGUUGCCCGCAGCACGUUACUUUCACUCAGAAUGAACUUAAAGUUGGAAAAAAAAGAAAAAAACAGCCGAUUGAAAUAAAACCAGAAAGCACUCAGCAGAAAUGUGUCUCCAGGACAGCAUCGCAUGCACAGGCCAGGACAAUCAGAGAUUCGGACUAUACUAUUUCUUGUAUGUUUUUUCUGCUAUCAUAGCUAUAUAUGCUAUAUGUUUUAUGAGCUGUGUGUCAGUUGCUGCUAUGUUUUGCACCUUGGCCCUGAAGGAACACUGUUUCAUUUGGUUGUGUCCAUGUGUGUGGCUGAAUGACAAUUAAACUUGAAUAUAAAUUUAUCUAUUUUUGUCUAUUUGCCUCAUUUGUUUUACAGAAUUUCUCUUUGAUGAAAAGAAAACAAUUCAGUUUGUGAAAUGAUCAGACAUCUGUUGGCCAGAGGGAAUGAUCCCUGUAACUGAGGUUGGAGAUAAAUCACACCCACUUCUCCGAAAGAGAAGUAAUCAGCAGCUUAUUUUAUUUGAAAAUAUAACUUAAGGUUGUAAAAAUAAGUGACGUCUACUGAAAAACAUUGUAUGUGUACUGAGAAGAAAUAUAUUGCAUAUGCUGGAAAUCCGAUACCAAAAUAGAAAGUGUUGGGAGCACCCAAACAUU